UACAGAGGGGGCAAGCGUUGUCCGGACUUACUGGGUGUAAAGCGCAUGCAGGUGGCUGUGCAAGUAUGCUGUGAAAGCCCCGUGCCUUAACACGGGGGAGGCCAGUAUAGACUGUACGGCUCGAGGACUGCAGAGGGUAGGGGAAUUGCUGGUGUAGUGGUGAAAUGCGUAGAGAUCAGCAGGAACACCAAGGCCGAAGGGACCUACCUGGGCAGUAUCUGACACUCAAGUGCGACAGCGUGGGGAGCGAACCGG
rnacentral:rRNA from 1 species